rnacentral:rRNA from 1 species
UACGUAGGCAGCAAGCGUUUGUUCGGAAUUACUGGGCGUAAAGAGUGUGUAGGCGGUGUUCUAAGUUUGUCGUGAAAUCUCCCGGCUUAACUGGGAGGGUGCGGCGAAAACUGGAAUGCUAGAGGAUGGGAGAGGUAAGCGGAAUUCCUGGUGUAGCGGUGAAAUGCGUAGAUAUCUGGAGGAAUACCGGUGGCGAAGGCGGCAUCCUGGACCGACAUUGACGCUGAACGGCGAAAGCUAGGGGAGCAAACGGG